AUGGAAGGGGAACCUAAUAAAACUUUUCAGCGAGAUGCUCUUGGAUAUGGAGGUUUCAGAGUUAAGAAUGAGUCUGAAACUUGUUAUGGCCAACAAACACAUGAAUGGGCUAGCACUGAAAAAAAUUCAUACAUGAAGGAUGCUAUUGAAAGAAGAUUCGGCAAUUCUCUGAGCGUGAAGGUAAAAGAAGAUAUAUAUAUAACAUUCCAACAGUACAUGAAAGAUGAAGGGCCCAGCACUUGCUCCAAAGUAAAGGAGUUGAUCUUACAAACUCUUAAAAUAGUGACAUCAGCGAAUAGCGAUUCCGAAAAAACAGUGAAACUCGAUUCAAGCAACGAAUACAUAUCAGCAAAUGCUAAUAUUGAUUCAGAGACAACUGUUAAGGUCAAUUCAAACGAAGAAUAUGAUCAUGAUGAUAUAAUAUCUAGAAAGAAAAGAAGGUUAGGAGAUCAAAUAGAAAGGCUAACACACGAGGAGCCACAAACUUCUAUAAUUAAAGGGAAAAAUUUAAGUCAGCAGUCAUGUGGGUCUGAAGGAACACACAGCAAGGCGCAGCACAACAUGGUAGUUGAUGAACAAGGGCCACAGUUAGCCCCAAUUGCUACUACAUUCGAAGCAAGCAAAACCAUAGAGGACUUACAACCCACCACCCAAGCUAUACUUCAAGAAGACAACUAUACGCAUUCAAAAACAGUGACCACAGCAAGUUUUGAUUAUAUGCUAUGUCCUCAGAAAUUUGAGUCUACUUCAUACCAACAGCAAGAACAAGGAGUCACAAUAAGCACACCAUCUUUUUGCGGUUUCAAGAACAAUACCAGCACUCAAAAGGAACCAACAAGUGAUCAAUUUCCAGAGAGCAAAAUGAGCAUAGAUAUUAACAAAGUUUUUGUGCCAGAUGAAGAACUAGCUCACACACAGACAACACAAACAUCUUUUGCACGCUACCUAGAUGAAGCUAGGAAAAACUACUUCUUCUACAGUGAUGACAUACCAACAUUACGGCUCUUCAAAAACCACGAUGAUUGCGGGAAUGAAAUCAAAGAGCCCGAAUUGUGGCGUCCUCUGCACAUGGACUCAGAAGAGUACGAAAGAAAGAUUGAGGCUCCUAAGAGGGAUGGUCCCCCAAAGAAAAACAUAGAAGUGGACAAUAUGAUGUCAAAAGACCCAGAACAGAGCUACAAAAGCAUUAAGCAGCAUUCUCAGUAUGAAAUUAAUAGCACGCCCAACGAGUUCCCCGUUUGUUGUGCACAACAACAAAGCCAGAGCUACUUUUGCAAAACACCAAGGCCUUCAACUGCAACAACAACAGAUGCAAGCAUUAUAGACUUGACCUCGCCAAAUGCUUACAAAAUUUUUCAGUGGAACCAGGAACAAACAUGCUACUCACCAAAGAACAAGAACAGCAGUUUCUUCUCACCGAGUACAUCACAUGAAAGAAACAUUGGGUCUCCUAAUCAAUUAAUAAUACCCAGAAGGUUGUUCCCUGACAAAAGCAACCACACGUAUACACCAGAUGGCACUGAAGAACAACCAAUAGCAAUAAGGGACAGUCAAUCUGCCUCCCCAAAGGUUCAAAUCCUGGGGGAAAAGUCUUUGAAACAAAAUUGCUUGAACUUGCUGGGAAACUCAGAUGAACAUUACAACACCCGUCUUUUGUUAGGGAGCUCAAACAGCUCGGUGGGAAAAGAAAAUGUUCCAAACAAAAGAAUUCUUAAGCCAAGCAAAUACCUUUGCUCUCCUUAUGACGGGUAUAACAGGGGAGAAAUUUUGAGCCAUGAAUUGGAUCUCUACAACAAUAUCAUGAUCUUAAGCAGUCAUGCAGAUUACAAGGGGGUUUCUUUGGAACAAUUGGGGAAAUCUUUCAAAGAGGAAGGAUGGGUAGAGUCAUACGUCAUAAAUGUGUUCUGUAGGAAACUCUUUAGGGACAAUCACCCAAGACUAUCUCAAAGGCAUUUCUUCUUCCACACUGCUAGUGAAUACUUCCUACAAAAGUGGAAGAAUGAAGCAUCGAGAUUGCAGUGGAGAGAUAAAUUAAUAAAGAGCUUCACAGGAGCUGGAAAAGCAAAGGAUCUUCAGCAAUGUAACGAAGUAUGUCUUAGUCAUCUUUUGUACAUUUGUGCUUCUCUUAUUCUUUUAUUUUUUUCUCUAAUUUUUUUGCCUCUGCUUUAUGAUAUGAAGUUAUUUUUUCCAACGCUACACAAGUCACACUAG
rnacentral:rRNA from 1 species